rfam:Stegodyphus mimosarum contig37206, whole genome shotgun sequence.
GCCUUCGUGGCGUAGUCGUCAGCACACUCGACGCGUAUUCGAGAGAUCCGUGGUUCGAGUCCCGGCGAUGGCA